CUUUGCUUCUAUAAGAAUUACUCCUUGAUCUUACACAAGCCUUUGAAGACACUCUAUAAGUUUUGGAGUCGUUCCCUUUGUUCAUCGACAAAGAACACUUUUCAAGAUGUUUCUUCCAUGUCAGAAUCUGCUCUACUUUGUUAUUAUCCUUCAAAUCAGAGCUACAGCAGGAAUUUCACUGAGCUGCAAUGAAACAGUACACGCUGAAGCUGGGAAAGACAUCACAAUAAAAUGUAACAUAUCUACAAAUGCAUCUCAGAAGUGUGUGGUAGAUCCCUGUAUCUGUGAAGCAAAUAAAGCAAAGUGUAACCAUGGCCGAAUGAAACUGAACUGCACUGAGACUGAAUUGUCUCUGCAUCUCUUCAAUGUUAACGAAGAUCAAGAUUUCAGUGUUUCCAUCCAUUCAAAUUGUGGUGUCCCGCCCAGCUCAAAAGUUCAGCUAAAAGUGUACAGACUGGAAGGAGUGGUGCAGGCUACAACAUCGCCUCCUAAAAUACCACAUGAGGUGACUGUAGCUGUUGGUUCUAUCUUUGGUAUCAUCGCUCUUCUUGGUCUGCUGUUAGUGUUGCGGCUAGUGUGUAAUAAAUACAGACAAAGUUCUUCAAAAAGUUCAUGUAAGAGCAUAAUAUGACAGUGUAUCAUUGUGUGAACUAUUAAUGUGAGGGUUAAAAGUUGUUUAAGGUUUCAGCUGGUUUACAGGUGGAGUUAUGUUUUGGCCUGUAGAGGAUAGGGUCUCCAGUUGAUGAUAUGUUUUUAUUUUUACUUACUUAAUUCCUCAGGGAAACAUUGUACCAAACAGACACACUGAAAUAUUUCAUGCUGAAAAAAAGAAUUGGAUUUAUUUAACCAAACAUUUGACAAAUAGAUUUAUCUAGUUUCUAAUGCAUUGCACAUUUCAUAUUCAGUUGUACAAAUUAAAAAAAAAAUAUAUAUAUAUAAAAACUGUCAAAUAAUUUUACCAUUAAAAUUUUCAAUUAUACACACAACAGACAAGGUUAUUAAUCGUAUCAUAAUUUUAUCCAAACCUGCACAUUGUUCUUACUAACAUGUGCACAAACAAGGAUUUGCUUGUACAGAAGCACUUUUACCAAAAAUCUCCUAAAAUCUAUUUUAGAUUAAUGCACCUCACUAUUUAUGAAAGUUGAUGAAGCAUUUUAAAUAGAAAAGGAAAGGAUAUAAUGUGUAGCAGAGAUGAUUUUUUCUUUUUUGUUGUUGUUAUUUCCUGACCAACGCUCUAGUCCAGUAGGUGGCGAUUAAACCUUAAAGCUAGUUAUUAACCCUCAAUAAAACAAAAAAAACAAACAGAGAAGAAGUUGGGGAAUCAAUUUUUCAUAUGUGUUUUCAGAAAAACACAAAUGUAGCACCUUUUCUGAACUGGCACUUUUACAUGUUUCUUUUUCUUUCUAUCCAAACACCCCAGUAGCCUGUACCUCCAUCACAUCUUUUUAAUUCUUACUCUGACCUAAUUCUAUUAUUAUGAUACUUCUGUCAUCUUCAUCCUCACUCUCCUCAGCUUAACUGUUGCCACAACUUUAACUUCCUCAUCACUCUAUGACACCUCAUCCUCAGUGAUAAGCUGGCAGACACAUGUAUAGAUACAGUAUGUGACUUGCAUAUUAGAAAUGGAUUACUAAAUCUUACUUAUGGCAAAUACAUUUAGAUAAUACUAACUCUCUUUCCUACAAACUAAAUACAGUUGUACUCCAUCUUAAUUUGCAAUAUGCAAGUAUUGUCAUUUUCUGAGGAAAACUUUUUUUUUUUUUUAAUAAUUUCAGUUUCCCAACCCUUAGAUAACACUGCUAAAUAAAAUUACAUUUAAUUUACAGUAAAAAACUGAAACAUUCUGUGUUGCCUGGAUGCAACACGUUAUCAUGGAGGGUUAAUGUGAGUAUAUCAUGCAUGUCUUGGAUAUUAAUAUUAAUUGUGUGAAAAUGUCAACACCUGGCUGUGUGGCUUCCUAUCAUUGAUAUAUAUUAUAUAUCCAGCACAUAUAUAACACUUUUUUUUUUUUACUAUUUUAGAUCCUGUCACUUCUCUAAACCUAUGGCUACAUGCAGGCAAAUGUGGCCCAAAUCCAAUUUUUUUGCCCAUAUGUGACCUGUAUCCAAUCUGUUAAAGAAAGUUUGAACAGCACAAAUUCGUUUUUUUUUUUUUUUCAAAUCCGACCAA